GAUGAACGCUGGCGGCGUGCCUAAUACAUGCCAGUCGAGCGAACGGACGAGAAGCUUGCUUCUCUGAUGUUAGCGGCGGACGGGUGAGUAACACGUGGAUAACCUACCUAUAAGACUGGGAUAACUUCGGGAAACCGGAGCUAAUACCGGAUAAUAUUUUGAACCGCAUGGUUCAAAAGUGAAAGACGGUCUUGCCGUCACUUAUAGAUGGAUCCGCGCUGCAUUAGCUAGUUGGUAAGGUAACGGCUUACCAAGGCAACGAUGCAUAACCGACCUGAGAGGGUGAUCGGCCACACUGGAACUGAGACACGGUCCAGACUCCUACGGGAGGCAGCAGUAGGGAAUCUUCCGCAAUGGGCGAAAGCCUGACGGAGCAACGCCGCGUGAGUGAUGAAGGUCUUCGGAUCGUAAAACUCUGUUAUUAGGGAAGAACAUAUGUGUAAGUAACUGUGCACAUCUUGACGGUACCUAAUCAGAAAGCCACGGCUAACUACGUG
rnacentral:rRNA from 1 species